rnacentral:rRNA from 1 species
AUUGAACGCUGGCGGCAGGCCUAACACAUGCAAGUCGAGCGGAUGAAGGGAGCUUGCUCCUGGAUUCAGCGGCGGACGGGUGAGUAAUGCCUAGGAAUCUGCCUGGUAGUGGGGGAUAACGUCCGGAAACGGGCGCUAAUACCGCAUACGUCCUGAGGGAGAAAGUGGGGGAUCUUCGGACCUCACGCUAUCAGAUGAGCCUAGGUCGGAUUAGCUAGUUGGUGGGGUAAAGGCCUACCAAGGCGAAGAUCCGUAACUGGUCUGAGAGGAUGAUCAGUCACACUGGAACUGAGGCACGGUCCAGACUCCUACGGGAGGCAGCAGUGGGGAAUAUUGGACAAUGGGCGAAAGCCUGAUCCAGCCAUGCCGAGUGUGUGAAGAAGGUCUUCGGAUUGUAAAGCACUUUAAGUUGGGAGGAAGGGCAGUAAGUUAAUACCUUGCUGUUUUGACGUUACCAACAGAAUAAGCACCGGCUAACUUCGUG